rnacentral:snRNA from 1 species
AUCGCUUCUCGCCUUUUUGGCUAAGAUCAAAGUACCAGCUUAAUCUCUGGUACGGUCUCCAUAUGGAGACCCAGAAGAUUAAACUGAUUUUUGGAAAAUGACGGAGUGCUAGGAGCUUGCUCCAACUCUGUCGCGGGUUGACCCUUUAUUGCAGUACCUCCGGGAACAUCCCACUUUUU